UACGUAGGGUGCAAGCGUUGUCCGGAAUUAUUGGGCGUAAAGGGCUCGUAGGCGGUCCGUCACGUCGGGAGUGAAAACUUGGGGCUUAACCCCAAGCCUGCUUCCGAUACGGGCGGACUAGAGGUAGGCAGGGGAGAACGGAAUUCCUGGUGUAGCGGUGAAAUGCGCAGAUAUCAGGAGGAACACCGGUGGCGAAGGCGGUUCUCCGGGCCUUACCUGACGCUGAGGAGCGAAAGCGUGGGGAGCGAACAGG
rnacentral:rRNA from 1 species